rnacentral:rRNA from 1 species
UCGAGCCUGCCCGGUGACUAUAUGUUUAACGGCCGCGGUAUUUUAACCGUGCAAAGGUAGCGCAAUCACUUGUCUUUUAAAUGAAGACCUGUAUGAAUGGUAUUACGAGGGCUUAACUGUCUCCUUUUUCAAGUCAGUGAAAUUGAUCUCCCCGUGCAGAAGCGGGGAUAAGACCAUAAGACGAGAAGACCCUAUGGAGCUUUAAGACACCAAGGCAAAUCAAGUUAAACACCCCUAAACAAAGGACUAAACCUAUUGAACUCUUGCCCGUAUGUCUUCGGUUGGGGCGACCAUGGGGAAACAAAAAACCCCCACGUGGAACGGGAGCACAACUACUCCUACAGCUGAGAGCUGCCGCUCUAAUAAGCAGAACUUCUGACCAAUAACUGAUCCGGCAACGCCGAUCAACGAACC